GGCUCAAUGGUCUAGUGGUAUGAUUCUCGCUUUGGGUCUACCUCGAAUCUGCGAGAGGCCCCGGGUUCGAAUCCCGGUUGAGCCC